rnacentral:miRNA from 1 species
CAGUAUCUGUGUGAUAUUCACC